GAUCAAACGUUGAAGGGCUUCUGACGGAUGCCUUGGCGUAGAGAGGCGAUGAAGGACGUGGCAAGCUGCGAUAAGAACCGGGGAGGCGCUAGCACCCUUUGAUCCGGUUAUUUCCGAAUGGGGAAACCCACCUUUACAGUCUUCCAACUCUGUUUCUUCGGAGGCAGCGAUUGGCGGAUUGUUGAAAGGUAUAAUG
rnacentral:rRNA from 1 species